rnacentral:rRNA from 1 species
UCGAACGAACUUCCGUUAAUUGAUUAUGACGUGCUUGCACUGAAUGAGAUUUUAACACGAAGUGAGUGGCGGACGGGUGAGUAACACGUGGGUAACCUGCCCAGAAGCAGGGGAUAACACCUGGAAACAGAUGCUAAUACCGUAUAACAGAGAAAACCGCCUGGUUUUCUUUUAAAAGAUGGCUCUGCUAUCACUUCUGGAUGGACCCGCGGCGCAUUAGCUAGUUGGUGAGGUAACGGCUCACCAAGGCGAUGAUGCGUAGCCGACCUGAGAGGGUAAUCGGCCACAUUGGGACUGAGACACGGCCCAGACUCCUACGGGAGGCAGCAGUAGGGAAUCUUCCACAAUGGACGCAAGUCUGAUGGAGCAACGCCGCGUGAGUGAAGAAGGGUUUCGGCUCGUAAAGCUCUGUUGUUAAAGAAGAACGUGGGUGAGAGUAACUGUUCACCCAGUGACGGUAUUUAACCAGAAAGCCACGGCUAACUACGUGCCAGCAGCCGCGGUAAUACGUAGGUGGCAAGCGUUAUCCGGAUUUAUUGGGCGUAAAGCGAGCGCAGGCGGUCUUUUAAGUCUAAUGUGAAAGCCUUCGGCUCAACCGAAGAAGUGCAUUGGAAACUGGGAGACUUGAGUGCAGAAGAGGACAGUGGAACUCCAUGUGUAGCGGUGAAAUGCGUAGAUAUAUGGAAGAACACCAGUGGCGAAGGCGGCUGUCUGGUCUGUAACUGACGCUGAGGCUCGAAAGCAUGGGUAGCGAACAGGAUUAGAUACCCUGGUAGUCCAUGCCGUAAACGAUGAUUACUAAGUGUUGGAGGGUUUCCGCCCUUCAGUGCUGCAGCUAACGCAUUAA